rnacentral:rRNA from 1 species
AGUGAACGCUGGCGGCAGGCCUAACACAUGCAAGUCGAACGGCAGCACGGCAGUAGCAAUACUGUGGGUGGCGAGUGGCGGACGGGUGAGGAAUACAUCGGGAUCUACCCUGUUGUGGGGGAUAACGUAGGGAAACUUACGCUAAUACCGCAUAAGAACUGAGGUUGAAAGCGGCGGACCGCAAGGCGUCGCGCGAUUGGAUGAACCGAUGUCCGAUUAGCUAGUUGGCGGGGUAAAGGCCCACCAAGGCGACGAUCGGUAGCUGGUCUGAGAGGACGACCAGCCACACUGGAACUGAGACACGGUCCAGACUCCUACGGGGGGCAGCAGUGGGGAAUAUUGGACAAUGGGCGCAAGCCUGAUCCAGCCAUGCCGCGUGGGUGAAGAAAGGGCCCUUCGGGGUUUGGUUAAAAGGACCCC